GAUUCGAUAUAACUUUCUUACUCAACAAUAUUUACUUUUUAACAAAAUAUGUCCAUCUUUUCUCCCACUGGUUUCGAUUCAACGAGCAUUGGUGGGUCAAAGUCCUCCUUAGCUUCCAUGUUUCAUAAGAUCGUAAGAAAUUUCCAAGUGUAAGAACCCAUUUGGUAUUUUGAUCUGAAAUUCUUUCUGGGUUUCGAAUAAUCUAAGUUUUUGAGGUUUCGAAAUGAUGAAACCAGGACUUUCAUCUUUGAUUGGGUUGAAGGCGGUAGCUUUAUUCUCUCUAUUUCUAUUUUUUAGGUUCUAUGGCUUCAGAUUGUUAUCAUUUCAAUUCUUAUAUGCUUCUUUAGUUUCUUUCUUGGUCUCAGUUGCUUCUCUUCCAUCAAUCAAUCUUCCCCUGCUUUUGGGAAAGAAAUCAGAUGGGACUUUUCCGAUUUGGUCCGUAAUUAUUUUUGGUCCAUUUUUGUAUUUCGUUCGAUAUCUUCCAUCAUUGCGUGGGUUGUACCGUAAAGAUGAUCCUUACAGUGAAAUUUGUGAUGGUUUAUUUGUUGGGGGGUGGCCUUGUUCACCUGAUAGAUUGCCUCCUUGUAAUCCUGCCAUUGUUGAUUGUACUUGUGAAUUGCCAAGGUGUUUAGAAGUCUCUGGGGCAGGUUAUUUGUGUGUUCCUACUUGGGAUACACGCUCUCCUCAGCCUCGAGACAUCGAAUUGGCUGUUCGGUGGAUUUGUAGAAAGAGAGAGCAGAAGAAGCCGGUGUUCAUCCAUUGUGCUUAUGGUAACUUCUCUUGCUGUACUGAUUGAAAUGCUUUGAUUUUCAUGUACAUUUUAUAGGAAUGGAGUAAAGAAGGAGGGAGAAGGGGGUUCAUUGCGCUCUCAGGGCUUGUUUGGGAGUAAUUUUGAAAGUGUCAUGGAAGAAGUGUUGCCGUUGCGUGUGCAGCGUUAGUGGCUCUAGGAGAGGCAGAAGAUUGGAAAGAUGCAGAGAAGAUAAUAAAGGAAAAAAGACCUUGCAUCCGGAUGAAUUCUUCUCAUCGCAAAGCCUUGGAAGAAUGGUCGAAAAAUCAGCUAUCCGCUCCAAAGAAGAAGAGAUACAAUGAUAUGAGUCCUAACUCCUAAGCUUCUUUCUGGUAACUGAAUUGAUAACAUGAAUCCAAUAGGUCAUUUCAAACCCCUCCCCUUGUAAUCUUGCAUAUCUUAUUGCUUGGAUGAGCAUUUGAUGUAUCAUCAUUGAGUACUAGUAAUAUUAAUAGAUAAACAAACUCUGUAACAAAAAGUUUUCAUCUUUCUAUUUUGGAUUUAAUCAUUCAA